rnacentral:rRNA from 1 species
CAAGGUUAAAACUCAAAUGAAUUGACGGGGGCCCGCACAAGCGGUGGAGCAUGUGGUUUAAUUCGAUGCAACGCGAAGAACCUUACCUGGUCUUGACAUCCACAGAACUUUCCAGAGAUGGAUUGGUGCCUUCGGGAACUGUGAGACAGGUGCUGCAUGGCUGUCGUCAGCUCGUGUUGUGAAAUGUUGGGUUAAGUCCCGCAACGAGCGCAACCCUUAUCCUUUGUUGCCAGCGGUCCGGCCGGGAACUCAAAGGAGACUGCCAGUGAUAAACUGGAGGAAGGUGGGGAUGACGUCAAGUCAUCAUGGCCCUUACGACCAGGGCUACACACGUGCUACAAUGGCGCAUACAAAGAGAAGCGACCUCGCGAGAGCAAGCGGACCUCAUAAAGUGCGUCGUAGUCCGGAUUGGAGUCUGCAACUCGACUCCAUGAAGUCGGAAUCGCUAGUAAUCGUGGAUCAGAAUGCCACGGUGAAUACGUUCCCGGGCCUUGUACACACCGCCCGUCACACCAUGGGAGUGGGUUGCAAAAGAAGUAGGUAGCUUAACCUUCGGGAGGGCGCUUACCACUUUGUGAUUCAUGACUGGGGUGAAGUCGUAACAAGGUAACCGUAGGGGAACCUGCGGUUGGAUCACCUCCUUA